CAAGUCGACGAUACCAGAGAGCUUGCUUUCUGGGAAAGUGGCGCACGGGUGCGUAACGCGUAUGCAACCUACCUUAAUCAGGGGGAUAGCCUCUCGAAAGAGAGAUUAACACCGCAUAAAAUCACACUUCGGCAUCGAAGAAUGAUCAAAUAUUUAUAGGAUUAAGAUGGGCAUGCGUGACAUUAGUUUGUUGGUGAGGUAACGGCUCACCAAGACUACGAUGUCUAGGGGAUCUGAGAGGAUGACCCCCCACACUGGUACUGAGACACGGACCAGACUCCUACGGGAGGCAGCAGUAAGGAAUAUUGGUCAAUGGGGGCAACCCUGAACCAGCCAUGCCGCGUGCAGGAAGACGGCCCUACGGGUUGUAAACUGCUUUUAUACGGGAAUAAACCUCUCUACGUGUAGGGAGUUGAAUGUACUGUAAGAAUAAGGAUCGGCUAACUCCGUGCCAGCAGCCGCGGUAAUACGGAGGAUCCAAGCGUUAUCCGGAUUUAUUGGGUUUAAAGGGUGCGUAGGCGGCCUAUUAAGUCAGGGGUGAAAGACGGUGGCUCAACCAUCGCAGUGCCCUUGAUACUGAUGGGCUUGAUUACACUUGAGGUAGGCGGAAUGUGACAAGUAGCGGUGAAAUGCAUAGAUAUGUCACAGAACACCAAUUGCGAAGGCAGCUUACUAAGGUGUUAAUGACGCUGAGGCACGAAAGCGUGGGGAUCAAACAGGAUUAGAUACCCUGGUAGUCCACGCCCUAAACGAUGAAUACUCGAUGUUAGCGAUAUACAGUUAGCGUCAAAGCGAAAGCGUUAAGUAUUCCACCUGGGGAGUACGCCCGCAAGGGUGAAACUCAAAGGAAUUGACGG
rnacentral:rRNA from 1 species